GACGAACGCUGGCGGCGUGCUUAACACAUGCAAGUCGAACGAUGAAACCGGAGCUUGCUCCGGUGGAUUAGUGGCGAACGGGUGAGUAACACGUGAGUAACCUGCCCUUGACUCUGGGAUAACUGCGGGAAACUGUAGCUAAUACCGGAUACGACCCUCGGAGGCAUCUCCUGGGGGUGGAAAGAAUUUCGGUCAAGGAUGGACUCGCGGCCUAUCAGCUAGUUGGUGAGGUAACGGCUCACCAAGGCGACGACGGGUAGCCGGCCUGGGAGGGUGACCGGCAACACUGGAAAUGAGACACGGCCCAGACUCCUACGGGAGGCAGCAGUGGGGAAUAUUGCACAAUGGGCGCAAGCCUGAUGCAGCAACGCCGCGUGAGGGAUGACGGCCUUCGGGUUGUAAACCUCUUUUAGCAGGGAAGAAGCGAAAGUGACGGUACCUGCAGAAAAAGCACCGGCUAACUACGUGCCAGCCGCCGCAGUAA
rnacentral:rRNA from 1 species